rnacentral:rRNA from 1 species
GACGAACGCUGGCGGCGCGCCUAACACAUGCAAGUCGAACGAGCGAGAGAGAGCUUGCUUUCUUGAGCGAGUGGCGAACGGGUGAGUAACGCGUGAGGAACCUGCCUCAAAGAGGGGGACAACAGUUGGAAACGACUGCUAAUACCGCAUAAGCCCACGGUGCCGCCUGGCACAGAGGGAAAAGGAGCAAUCCGCUUUGAGAUGGCCUCGCGUCCGAUUAGCUAGUUGGUGAGGUAACGGCCCACCAAGGCGACGAUCGGUAGCCGGACUGAGAGGUGGAACGGACACAUUGGGACUGAGACACGGCCCAGACUCCUACGGGAGGCAGCAGUGGGGAAUAUAGCACAAUGGGGGAAACCCUGAUGCAGCGACGCCGCGUGGAGGAAGAAGGUCUUCGGAUUGUAAACUCCUGUUGUUGGGGAAGAUAAUGACGGUACCCAACAAGGAAGUGACGGCUAACUACGUG